AGUGAACGCUGGCGGUAGGCCUAACACAUGCAAGUCGAACGGCAGCACAGUAAGAGCUUGCUCUUACGGGUGGCGAGUGGCGGACGGGUGAGGAAUACAUCGGAAUCUACUUUUUCGUGGGGGAUAACGUAGGGAAACUUACGCUAAUACCGCAUACGACCUACGGGUGAAAGCAGGGGAUCUUCGGACCUUGCGCGAUUGAAUGAGCCGAUGUCGGAUUAGCUAGUUGGCGGGGUAAAGGCCCACCAAGGCGACGAUCCGUAGCUGGUCUGAGAGGAUGAUCAGCCACACUGGAACUGAGACACGGUCCAGACUCCUACGGGAGGCAGCAGUGGGGAAUAUUGGACAAUGGGCGCAAGCCUGAUCCAGCCAUACCGCGUGAGUGAAGAAGGCCUUCGGGUUGUAAAGCCCUUUUGUCGGGAAAGAAAAGCAGCAGGUUAAUACCCCGCUGUUCUGACGGUACCCAAAGAAUAAGCACCGGCUAACUUCGUG
rnacentral:rRNA from 1 species